GCGGGGGUCGUGCGCGUCCACGUCGUGCGCGCGGGCCCCGCCCGCCAGAGUUCCUGCCCGCAGGGCGUUGCCCUGGGUACCCGGAGCGGUCGGGGGCGCGAGACGGCGAGAGCCGCUCAAAGGCCUCCUGGAAGUGUUUCUCCUGGGAAGUGAUCACCAGCGAGCCCCUCUGAAUGUUACUGGAAAAGGAACUUCAAACCCCGUGUUUUUCAGAGUGCUCCAGCUCGGGUUCAGGUUCCACGCUGCAGAAGCCCAAGCCAUGGCGUCCACUGUACCAGGCACCACAGGAACUCUUUGGUGACUCACCCUCUGGCAGUGGCAUCAGCGAAUUGCUUGUUCGCCCUUCAGUAAAUACCUACUGAGCACCCCAUUUGUUCUCGGCAUCACGCUGGGACCUGGGCUUUCUCACUGCGCUGCCACCUUCCUCCCAGGCGUGCUCCGCCCCGUGUGGGCUAUGAGAAACAGGACACAAGCGCGAGGAAGCCGGCAUAUAAACACAUCAGAUUCGAGUUUCCUUUGCGUUGUGAGACAGAGUCUAAAAUAAAGGGCCAUCUAAAGUUAAGGAGAGCUAGGUAUGGCGGUGCAGGCCUGUAAUCCCAGCACUUGGGAGGCCGAGGCAGGAGGAUCCUUGUGAGUUCGAGACCAGCCUGGGCUACAUAAUUAGUUCAAGGACAGAAACUAGAGGUGAG
rnacentral:lncRNA from 1 species